AUUACCCAUCGUGAUGUGGUUAUUGCAAUCAUAAGUGUUUGAUUGACAGGGCAGUAUUUUAUUGCCCUUUUUUAUUU
rfam:Buttiauxella agrestis ATCC 33320 GBAG.assembly.060, whole genome shotgun sequence.